CCUACGGGAGGCAGCAGUGAGGAAUAUUGGUCAAUGGGCGCGAGCCUGAACCAGCCAAGUAGCGUGAAGGAUGACGGCCCUACGGGUUGUAAACUUCUUUUAUAAAGGGAUAAAGUGAGGUACGUGUGCCUGUUUGUAUGUACUGUAUGAAUAAGGAUCGGCUAACUCCGUGCCAGCAGCCGCGGUAAUACGGAGGAUCCGAGCGUUAUCCGGAUUUAUUGGGUUUAAAGGGAGCGUAGAUGGGUUGUUAAGUCAGUUGUGAAAGUUUGCGGCUCAACCUUAGAAUUGCAUCUGAUACUGGUAGCCUUGAGUGCAGUUGCGGUAGGCGGAAUGCGUGGUGUAGCGGUGAAAUGCUUAGAUAUCACGCAGAACUCCGAUUGCGAAGGCAGCUUACUAAGCUGCCACUGACAUUGAUGCUCGAAAGUGUGGGUAUCAAACAGGAUUAGAUACCCUGGUAGUC
rnacentral:rRNA from 1 species